rnacentral:rRNA from 1 species
UCUCCUGGAAACGGGUGGUAAUGCCGGAUGUUCCACAUGAGCGCAUGCGAGUGUGGGAAAGGCUUUUUGCGGCAUGGGAUGGGGUCGCGUCCUAUCAGCUUGUUGGUGGGGUAACGGCCUACCAAGGCGUUGACGGGUAGCCGGCCUGAGAGGGCGACCGGCCACAUUGGGACUGAGAUACGGCCCAGACUCCUACGGGAGGCAGCAGUGGGGAAUAUUGCACAAUGGGCGCAAGCCUGAUGCAGCGACGCCGCGUGCGGGAUGGAGGCCUUCGGGUUGUAAACCGCUUUUGUUCAAGGGCAAGGCACGGUUUCGGCCGUGUUGAGUGGAUUGUUCGAAUAAGCACCGGCUAACUACGUGCCAGCAGCCGCGGUAAUACGUAGGGUGCAAGCGUUAUCCGGAUUUAUUGGGCGUAAAGGGCUCGUAGGCGGUUCGUCGCGUCCGGUGUGAAAGUCCAUCGCUUAACGGUGGAUCCGCGGCCGGGUACGGGCGGGCCUUGGAGUGGCGGUAGGGGAGAACUGGAAUUCCCCGGGUGUAACGGGUGGAAAUGGUGGUAGAUAAUCGGGAAAAACACCA